AACGCACAUUGCGCCCCCUGGUAUUCCGGGGGGCAUGCCUGUUCGAGCGUCAUUACAACCCUCAAGCUCUGCUUGGUAUUGGGCUCUGCCGGUCCCGGCAGGCCUUAAAAUCAGUGGCGGUGCCAUUCGGCUUCAAGCGUAGUAAUUCUUCUCGCUUUGGAGACCCGGGUGCGUGCUUGCCAGCAACCCCCAAUUUUUUCAGGUUGACCUCGGAUCAGGUAGGGAUACCCGCUGAACUUAA
rnacentral:misc_RNA from 2 species